rnacentral:rRNA from 1 species
GUGGGGAAUCUUGCGCAAUGGGCGAAAGCCUGACGCAGCCAUGCCGCGUGAAUGAUGAAAGUCUUAGGAUUGUAAAAUUCUUUCACCGGGGACGAUAAUGACGGUACCCGGAGAAGAAGCCCCGGCUAACUUCGUGCCAGCAGCCGCGGUAAUACGAAGGGGGCUAGCGUUGCUCGGAAUUACUGGGCGUAAAGGGCGCGUAGGCGGCGUGGUAAGUCAGAUGUGAAAUCCCGGGGCUCAACCCCGGAACUGCAUCCGAUACUGCCAUGCUUGAGGGUUGGAGAGGUAGCUGGAAUUCUCGGUGUAGCAGUGAAAUGCGUGGAUAUCGAGAGGAACACUCGUGGCGAAGGCGAGCUACUGGACAACAUCUGACGCUGAGGCUCGAAGGCCAGGGGAGCAAAAGGGAUUAGAUACCCGGGUAGUCC